UCCCGAGCGUUNUCCGGAUUUAUUGGGCGUAAAGGGAGCGCAGGCGNUCAGGAAAGUCUGGAGUAAAAGGCUAUGGCUCAACCAUAGUGUGNUCUGGAAACUGUCUGACUUGAGUGCAGAAGGGGAGAGUGGAAUNCCAUGUGUAGCGGUGAAAUGCGUAGAUAUAUGGAGGAACACCAGUGGCGAAAGCGGCUCUCUGGUCUGUCACUGACGCUGAGGCUCGAAAGCGUGGGUAGCGAACAGGAUUAGAUACCCUGGUAGUNCACGCCGUAAACGAUGAGUGCUAGGUGUUAGGCCCUUUCCGGGGCUUAGUGCCGGAGCUAACGCAAUAAGCACUCCGCCUGGGGAGUACGACCGCAAGGUUGAAACUCAAAGGAAUUGACGGGGGCCCGCACAAGCGGUGGAGCAUGUGGUUUAAUUCGAAGCAACGCGAAGAACCUUACCAGGUCUUGACAUCCCGAUGCUAUUCUUAGAGAUAGGAAGUUACUUCGGUACAUCGGAGACAGGUGGUGCAUGGUUGUCGUCAGCUCGUGUCGUGAGAUGUUGGGUUAAGUCCCGCAACGAGCGCAACCCUUAUUGUUAGUUGCCAUCAUUAAGUUGGGCACUCUAGCGAGACUGCCGGUAAUAAACCGGAGGAAGGUGGGGAUGACGUCAAAUCAUCAUGCCCCUUAUGACCUGGGCUACACACGUGCUACAAUGGUCGGUACAACGAGUUGCGAGCCGGUGACGGCAAGCUAAUCUCUGAAAGCCGAUCUCAGUUCGGAUUGGAGGCUGCAACUCGCCUCCAUGAAGUCGGAAUCGCUAGUAAUCGCGGAUCAGCACGCCGCGGUGAAUACGUUCCCGGGCCUUGUACACACCGCCCGUCACACCACGAGAGUUUGUAACACCCGAAGUCGGUGAGGUANCCUUUUAGGG
rnacentral:rRNA from 1 species